rnacentral:lncRNA from 1 species
GCGGGAUGAUUGGCGUCCGAGCGCUGGGCUGUUCCGUGGACCCGCGCGGCCACGCCAGUGUGCUGUGCACGGGAAAUGUGGACGUGGGAGCACGGAGGCACCCAGUACUGUGGCGUGGUGCUCGUCUGGUCGUCAGCGAGCCUCAGCGUACUUAGGACACCGCAGUUUAUCUUUCCUUAGCGCUCCUAACGGUUAUGGAAAAUAGCGCUUGAAAACCUGGUAAGGACUAGGCAUUGUUGCUCAACUCUUGACAUUUACACCUUUGCCGGUAACUCUCCCUGUUUCACAGAUGGGGAAACGGAGGCUCACACUUAUUCAGUCUCUCUUGAGAUCCACCUGAUUCGUGAGAGGUAGAGCCAGGAUUUCAUUCUUGCCCGUCGAUGGCAUAUGUUAGUGCCUAUGUUGGGGGAGGCAGACUGCCCCAGCCCUCCCCAACACACGCAAUGGUUAUGAGAAGAAAUAAAGCGAAGGGUGUUCCUGAGAUUGACCCCAUGACCUACACUUAGUACAAGGCUAAGCUCUCUUAGCUCUCUGGCUUAGCAAUAAACUGCUUUGAAGACACAGAACUUUGCACUUGAGAGCCGGAAGAGACCUUGGGAAUCCCGGGUUCCAUCCUUUCUUCCACCUUGUAUACAGGUGAAUGCACUGUGGCCCAGAGAUAGGAAGUGACCAGCAAUCCAGCCACUUUAAAAGAUUUUUAAAAACAAGAGCCCUAGAAACGUCUACUCCAUUCCAUUUAUCAAGUAAAACAAGCAUAGACAGAACUGGCAGUUCUACAUCUUAACACAGAAUCCUUCUUGGUCCAGCACCCGCCUGGGUCACCUCCUCUUCCUGGAUUCAGCUACUGUUAACGGAAGAAACCAUGAAGCCUCAGAAGGUUAGAGCCAAAGGGACUCUACUGUGUAGCCCCAAUCACCUUCUUUUACAGUUAAGAGCCUGGAACCCAGAGAGGUUGAGUGACUUGGCCAAGACCCCCUGGAGGCAGAGGAGAGCAGAACCAAUGUUUCAGACUCCCACAUGACUUGCGCAUCAGUGUCUUUUUUUUGACAAUCUGUUGCUAUAAGAAAUUACUCGUUUGGAUAAUUUUCACACUAGAAAACCCUGUGACCCAAGGCUAGCAUUGAGAAGCUAAAGCUGGCCACUGACAUACUGUGAUUUUAAGGACAGUCUCCUUCGAAAUUAUCUGCCUUUCAAAAUCUUUGCCAUUGGAGACACUGGUUGGGGUUAUGUUAGUCUUCCUUAAGGAGGGCUCUACUAAAAUGCCAGACUAGGCCGGGCAUGGUGGCUCAUGCCUGUAAUCCCAGCACUUUGGGAGUCCAAGGCUGGUCUCGAACUCCUGACCUCAGAUGAUCCCCCAGCCUCGGCCUUCCAAAGUGUUGGGAUUAUAGGCGUGAGCCACUGCGCCUGGCCUGUUUUUGUUUUUUUUUGAAAUGGAGUCUUGCUCUGUUGCCAGGCUGGAG